AUCAAAGACAUCCAUAUUUUUGUUACUUUACAUAGUUUGGUAGUCACUACAUUAUAUUUGCAAAGUUGAUACUAGUUUUAUGUGAAACUGAUACAUUUGAUUCAUUUUAGGGCGAAUGAGAACAUUAUCCUGGCCACCACAAAACAUGGAGGACACCUGGCUUAUUACGAGGGUAUAACUGUAAAUAGCUUGUGGCAAUUUACAGCUUCUCUCUCUUUCUCGUGUUUUUGCUUCAGGCAAAUCCUGUAUUCUGCAACAUUGAGGGACAGGUGGGUGAGAGUCGUUGAUGAAUUCUUUCAUGUCUUGCACUCUAGCCCAUUGAGAAACAGAAAAGAGAAGGUGGAAGAGUGUAGCUCGACUUCCAUGCCGCAAUCUUCAAUUGAUCAGGGACCAUUCUUGAAUGUUAUGGAAGGUGGAAUGGUGACUGCAAUGGGCAACAUCACAGACAGUGUAGCAGAAGAAACGUGCAAUGGAGAUGGGGAUCAUGUUAAGAAGGGAGAAGAAACCAUUUCUGACAGAGAGAGGAGUGAUAAUAUGACAGAUAAAAUACCUCCUAUAAUUAAUGACAAUCAACAAUCAGAUCAAAAUCUCAAUGAUCUAAUAGUUCCUAUGAGAAGAUAAAUGGGUCAGCUCUCGAAGCGAAGUGGGAUUUCAAUCUGGCUGCUUGUAUACAUUGCAAUUGUAACAACUUGGCCGCUGGCAGGCUCAGCUCUUCUUUUGUUCAUCAAGAAAAGGUUCAAAAGCAUAAUUCCAGCAGCAUUGCUUAGAAGAUAA